rnacentral:rRNA from 1 species
UACGUAGGGUGCAAGCGUUAAUCGGAAUUACUGGGCGUAAAGCGUGCGCAGGCGGUUUGUUAAGUCAGCUGUGAAAUCCCCGGGCUCAACCUGGGAAUGGCAGUUGAGACUGGCAGGCUGGAGUGUGUCAGAGGGGGGUGGAAUUCCACGUGUAGCAGUGAAAUGCGUAGAGAUGUGGAGGAAUACCGAUGGCGAAGGCAGCCCCCUGGGAUAACACUGACGCUCAUGCACGAAAGCGUGGGGAGCAAACAGG